UACGUAGGGGGCAAGCGUUGUCCGGAUUAUUGGGCGUAAAGAGCGUGUAGGCGGCCAGGUAGGUCUGCUGUGAAAACUCGAGGCUUAACCUCGAGCUGUCGGCGGAAACCAUCUGGCUAGAGUCCGGAAGAGGAGAAUGGAAUUCCCGGUGUAGCGGUGAAAUGCGCAGAUAUCGGGAAGAACACCCGUGGCGAAGGCGGUCUCUGGGACGGUACUGACGCUGAGACGCGAAAGCGUGGGGAGCGAACGG
rnacentral:rRNA from 1 species